ACCUCCACCACCACCAGCAUACGAGCCAGCUUAUCAAGCACCAGCUUACGAACCUCCAGUUAAAGGAUAUGCCCCAGCUUAUGCUCCACCAGCAUACGAGCCAGCUUACCAAGCACCAGCUUAUGAAGCUCCAGUUAAAGGAUAUGCACCACCUCCACCACCACCAGCUUACGAAGCUCCAGCCUACCAAGCCCCAGAAUAUGCACCUCCAGCUAAAGGAUAUGCACCACCUCCACCACCACCAGCAUACGCUCCACCAGCUUACGAACCACCAACCUACCAAGCCCCAGCAUAUGAAGCACCCGUAAAAGGAUAUGCACCACCUCCUCCUCCAGCUUACGAACCACCAGCAUACCAAGCCCCCGCUUACGAACCACCAGUUAAAGGAUAUGCGCCACCCGCUUACGCACCACCUGCUUACGCACCACCUGCUUACGCACCACCAGCAUACGCUCCACCA
rnacentral:lncRNA from 1 species